GGUGGGGUAAAGGCCCACCUAGGCGACGAUCAGUAGCUGGUCUGAGAGGACGACCAGCCACACUGGAACUGAGACACGGUCCAGACUCCUACGGGAGGCAGCAGUGGGGAAUUUUGGACAAUGGGCGCAAGCCUGAUCCAGCCAUUCCGCGUGAGUGAAGAAGGCCUUCGGGUUGUAAAGCUCUUUCGCAAGGGAAGAAAACUUAUCCUCUAACAUAGGAUGAGGUUGACGGUACCUUGAUAAGAAGCACCGGCUAACUACGUGCCAGCAGCCGCGGUAAUACGUAGGGUGCGAGCGUUAAUCGGAAUUACUGGGCGUAAAGCGUGCGCAGGCGGUUUUGUAAGUCAGAUGUGAAAUCCCCGAGCUCAACUUGGGAACUGCGUUUGAAACUACAAGACUAGAAUAUGUCAGAGGGGGGUAGAAUUCCACGUGUAGCAGUGAAAUGCGUAGAGAUGUGGAGGAAUACCAAUGGCGAAGGCAGCCCCCUGGGAUAAUAUUGACGCUCAUGCACGAAAGCGUGGGGAGCAAACAGGGUUAGAUACCCUGGUAGUCCACGCCCUAAACGAUGUCUACUAGUUGUUGGUGGAGUAAAAUCCAUGAGUAACGCAGCUAACGCGUGAAGUAGA
rnacentral:rRNA from 1 species